rnacentral:rRNA from 1 species
GACGAACGCUGGCGGCGUGCCUAACACAUGCAAGUCGAGCGGAGUCGAUCGACGGAAGCCUUCGGGCGGAAGAUGGUUGACUUAGCGGCGGAUGGGUGAGUAACGCGUGGGCAACCUGCCUCGAAGACCGGGAUAACAGCCCGAAAGGGCUGCUAAUACCGGAUGUGGUCAAAGAUCCGCAUGGAUUUUUGAUUAAAGGGGAAACCCGUUUCGAGAUGGGCCCGCGUCCUAUCAGCUAGUUGGUGAGGUAAAAGCUCACCAAGGCGACGACGGGUAGCCGGCCCGAGAGGGUGACCGGCCACACUGGAACUGAGACACGGUCCAGACUCCUACGGGGGGCAGCAGUGGGGAAUCUUCCACAAUGGGCGAAAGCCUGAUGGAGCGACGCCGCGUGAGCGAAGAAGGCCUCGGUUGUAAGCUCUGUCUGGAGGGACGAAGGAAGUGACGGUACCUCCGGAGGAAGCCACGGCGUAACUACGUG